rnacentral:rRNA from 1 species
GGCCAGACUCCUACGGGAGGCAGCAGUGGGGGAUAUUGCACAAUGGGGGGAACCCUGAUGCAGCGACGCCGCGUGGGUGAAGAAGCGCCUCGGCGCGUAAAGCCCUGUCAGCAGGGAAGAAAAUGACGGUACCUGAAGAAGAAGCCCCGGCUAACUACGUGCCAGCAGCCGCGGUAAUACGUAGGGGGCAAGCGUUAUCCGGAUUUACUGGGUGUAAAGGGGGCGCAGACGGCGAUGCAAGCCAGGAGUGAAAGCCCGGGGCCCAACCCCAGGACUGCUCUUGGAACUGCGUGGCUGGAGUGCAGGAGGGGCAGGCGGAAUUCCUGGUGUAGCGGUGAAAUGCGUAGAUAUCGGGAGGAACACCAGUGGCGAAGGCGGCCCACUGGGCACUAACUGACGCUGAGGCUCGAAAGCAUGGGUAGCAAACAGGAUUAGAUACCCCAGUAA